ACUCCUGAGAUGAUGACCUGAGCCAAAACCAAGAGUUGGACGCUUAACUAACUCAGCCACCCAGGCACCCCAGGAGGCUUGAUUCUUAAGGCUGGCGCUGGCCUUGAUCAGACUCUGCCACAUGCCCAGUUUUCUCACAACUACAGCGUGAUUUGAGAAAACUCACUUGGGGUCAGUUUUGGAUCUAUAGAACCAAACAAAAUAAAGACUGAAGUAUUGGUCAUCCAUACACCUGCAGAUUCCAACCUUCUUGGCAUGUGAGCAUUGCUUGAAUAUUGGAAAAUGUUAACUAACAUUCUGCCAUCUUUCAGGAAAUAUGAUGCAUUUCAGUCCAGCAUCUGAUGACUGUUAUUCUCUUCCUCUCCCUACCCACCACUCACUUGCCAUCUGCUUCUCUUCAAUGUGGACUUUAAAAUGAGAGUCAGAUCUCUGUCAUUCACAUGUAGAGAGCAGUGGUAGAUAAGAGAGCAAACAUUUAUAUUUUUUGAAAAUGGAGGAGUGGAUAAUAUGGUGUGUUGCCUAACUGUCCAGCAUGCCAUCAUUCUUCCAGAACAUUGUCUCUGGAUAGGACUGCGUUCACCUUUGGCUUUCCCAUGACAUGGGUAGGUCAUGGAUACUAACCUAAGCAGCCUUGACUUUGGAUUGGAAAUUCCUUCAACACAUUACAACAUUACAAAUACUUCUAGCUUUAUCUACUGUUGAACGCUUUUGCUUGGCCAGCUGAUUUCCUAAUAGUCCUGUUGCAGUCUUGUUCUUUCCUACCUCUUCUGCAUCUUGAUUCCUAGCAUACUUUUCCAAGGAAGCUCACUGCUUCCUCUGCCCUUCUUCAGAAUUCUUUUACUCCAAGACUUCUCUCCAGUCUUACCUUCUCCACAAGUCCUCUGACUACCUUAGGCCCUCCCUCUGAAAUUCUACAGUAUUUCAUUUUCUCAACACGGACACUCAGAGAAAUUUGCUUGUUUGGAGUCCCUCAGCUAGGGACAGUCUACCUCCGCCCACCACCAGCAGACAUUUGGCAAUGAAUGGAGAUAUUCUCAGCUGUGACAACUGGAAAGGGGACUACAACAUCUAGUGGCUAGAGGCCAGGGAUGCUGCAUUGAGAAACGUGACCUUCAGUGAUUCAGCCUAGAUGAUGUAAUAAGAAUCCUUGGUUCUUGUAGGACUUGAAGAGUGCAUCCUGGAUAUACUUGAGUGUAUUUGGUGGCGAGGCUUACUACUUCACAAGGCCACCUAUUGUAUUGUUGGAGAGCUCUGUUGGAAAUUGUUUCCUUAUGUUGGAUUGAACUCUGCCUCCCUGUGCAGGUCUUCUGUGGCUGGGCAAUAAAUCGAUUCCUUUCCCUACAUGGAGGUGUUUAUAGAGAGCUCCCUUGUGAGUCCUUGCAGCCCUCCCACCCCUCGCUGGUUUCCACAUUAUGCUUGGGCCCACGACUCACCUCUUUACGUGUGUUCUUCACAUGUCAUGGUAAACUUCCUGACGGCAGACGCAGUGUCUUACUCUCUUUGUUUUGUAGCCCUGCCGCUAGUACAGUUAAUUUAAUCUUGUCCUAGAAAAUGCUGCCUCGGAAACGACCAACCCCAUAGAGAUGAUUCCCCUGCUGGCAGUGAGGAUCAGUCGGCUGCAAACCCUAAUCCUGGCACAACAUUAUUGUUCCUUAUCUUUUGUGUAGGGUAUUUGUAGGAUCAUUACCUUUAAGGUGGAGUUUGUUGUUUGUUUUUGUUUUUUAGUUUGUAAAGGCGGUGAGAAAAAUAUUUAUUUCUAAAGCAGGUAGAGAGCUCAGCAUUAUGGACAGUGUAUUUGCUUCCCACUUACGACUAUACAAGUAAAGAAAAUUCCUUGUAUUGCGACGCUGUCCAGUUUGUUGGGUUAAUCUGGGAGAGCGUAUCAGUGACCUGGAAUCGUGCCAACUUCCAAUUAGCACUCUGUGUAGCCACUGAUGUCACUUUAAAAGUAAUUCCUGCCCGGGCCCCCCCCCCCCAAGGUAAUUACUGCAGAUUUUCUCAUCCACCCUGAACAUAGCAUAUGCGUUUCUAAUCCUGUACGUUAUUAUUCUCAUCAAAAAGGAAAUUUUUCUUUAGGUUUUUAUAAUUAAAAAAAUUUUAAACCUAUCUUGAUAUAAUUUAAGACUUCUAGAAAGAAUGCAAAAAUAGUACAAUUAUGAAUGUCCAUAUAAUUUCACUGAUUCCCCAAAUGUUAAUGUUUUGUAUAACAUGUUACUGUGUAUAACAUUUGUUGCGGUGGCUUUAUUGUGUGUCAUCCCACCCCCCCCAUGAUUGUUUUUCUGAACGAUUUUAGUUAAGUUGCUAGGAACUUAUUUUAAAGUCAGGACAGCAUUCCCUUAUAUAACCACAGUGCAGGAAGUUAACAUUGGCACAGUAAUACUAUCUAGUCUAAAAGCCUUUAAAGUUUUGCUGGUUUUCCUACUUAUGUCUUUUAUAGCAAAAGAAAAUAAUUUUUUUUUCUGGUUGGGGCUCUAAUUCAGAAACACACAUUGCAUUUACUUUUCAUGUCCUUUUACUUUGCUUCAUUCGAAAAGAGUUCCUUGGUCUUUGUCUUAUGUGACCUUUACAUUUUUUUAAGAUAGGUCUUUUAUUUUGUCAGAUGGGUCUCAUUUUAGGUUUGUCUGGUGUUUUCUCAUAAUCAGAUGAAUUUAUACAUUUUUGGAAUGUAUACCAAAGUGUGGCAUACCACCGAAGUGUGUUGUGCCCUCAGUACAUCCUAGGGAGAGAGGCACAUGUCCCAUCACUGGUGAUAUUACUUUGAUUACUUGGUUAAGGUGGGAUUUGUCUAGUUUCUCUGCAUUAAACUUACUACUUUUCCUUUUUCUAGUUGUCUGGUAAAGGAAACUGACACUUAAACUGGUCAUUUCGACACAGCAUGGUAGGUAUGACAGACAGCCAGGGUACCAUGGGAGCCAUGGAAUCCCCUGACGUGAUGACACCUCAGCGGUGACUUAGGGAAUGAUUGUUGAAUCAGCCAGCCGCAGGAAUCUGGGGAGGAUAUUCUAGAAGGCUACAAUACCAUGAACACAGCCAUAGAGCCAUGAAAUAGCAUGGUAUGUUUAGGAAACUGCAGUGGUUGGCAUCUUGAGUUCUGAGAUUGAGUUCUCCAAUCAUGGAAUCCUCAGAUGGAAAUCUGAGUGCGUGAGGUCUCAUGGGAAGCUGGAAGUGAAGGUCCUGCUCUCUCUCAGGAAUUGUGGGGUCUUUUUUUGUCUCUGAAUUCUACAGUCCUCUCUUCCCUAAUUCACAGAGCCAAAAGUAGCAGAAAUGUGGGCAUUAGAGGGAAAAUCACAGUAUUUGAUAGUUGUAUAGGUUACAUCAUCAGUGGGAUGCAAUUUAUUCUAUUCCACUGGAAAUUGAUUUCUUUCUCAGAGAAGGUAAUUAUCUUUGCAAAAAGCUCAUGUCACUUUUUUGUCUCAUCUUUUCCAGCAUAAAAAUUAUUGAAAAUAAAAAUGGGAAAAAUGAUGCAAAUAAAACAAAAAUCAACCUGAAUCUGGCUUUGCAGUAUAUAGCCGAGAAGCCUGCUACUCUUUGGCUUGAGUAAGAAGUUAAAAUUGUGGAGUAGAGAAUGGGUGUAGCCUCUCUAUGCUCUUUGACACUCAGCCAAUUUGAAAUUUUUAUUUUUGUGGCAAAUGUUGCUAACUUACCCAAGUAUGAGGUAGCAAAUACAUUUGGACUGCCCAGGACUUUUCCAGGCUCCUGUCAAGAAACUGCUAUAAUUCUCCAAGAGUCUCCAAAUUAAAUUCGUGUCAAGACAUCUCCUUUGUUCUAGAAGUGAGGUCAUCUUUGGAAAGUGGACAUUAGCGAUGCUGUGAGUGAGAAAAGGAUUAUGAACCUCUGUCUGAGCUUUAAUGAUGUCUGGGCAAAAAUACAUGUUCAGAAGAAUUCCUUGAGGUUUUCAAGACCCUAUAAAUUUCUAAGAGAAAUUACUAGUUCUGAGGCUCAGAGAAUUUCAUUCUUCAGCAUUGGAACUUUUCAUAACUAUCUGCUUUUUGCCUCCUCUUGCUCGGGUAGAGGUAUGCAGAGCUUGGUCACAAUGAUCAUAGAUUCUUUUUACUUUUCAUCCACAAUUUUGACUAUCUUCUGUGUACCAGACACUAUGAUCCCUAACUAAUGGAGGUCAUCACAUCGAUGUGUGUAUCAGUGCCAGCCCCAAAUCAGGUAGCAUAAUCCAGUAUUUCUAACUAAAGAGCCUUAAUGUGAAUGCUUUACUACAUUCAUGUGGCCAACCGUAUUCUUUUAAUUGAGUCAAAAUUUAUGUAACAUAAAAUUUGCCAUUAAUUAUUUUUAAAUAUACUGUUCUGUGGCAUUUA